UGGCGCCACAGUCAGUAACUGACGUCUGUCUUUUGAAGUUGAUAUGGCGUCGGCGGAAUUCUGUUUGUGCGGUUCUCUUUGGAAAAUCGGGUGCCUGGCGUGUGCUUCGACUGCGCUAUGUACUCCUGGAACGUUCCUUCUAUGUCACCGCCGAGUGGCCUAAGACCAUCCACAUGCUGCCCUGAAGACCACCCACAUGCUGCCCUGAAGACCACCUGUCAACCCGGACUCCAAAGAGAGGCUCAAAGAUGAACUCCGGGGGGCAGUAUGAGCCAAAACAAGAUGGCGCCACUAUGACAACUCGCCUGCGCCACAACGGGCUGGGCCGACCAAUAGGCCCCCACCAGUGAAAAAAGCCUAACGGCGCAAUAGGCCGCGACUUAAAAAAAAAAAUGCGUCACUUGGCUUGCAUAAGACUUCAUUAAUACAUUUCAGCCAUAUGGAUACAUUUUGCAAUAUACCAAUGCUGUAUUUUGUAAGUUAUGUUAUUUGUAUAUUGCUUAUGACAUAUAGUACAGUUACUCAUUUAAA